rnacentral:misc_RNA from 1 species
GAUAGCGAGACCAAAGUUCCAAUAAUAUAUCAGCUGUGUUUAGUAAACAACAUCGAAUUCGAAUCUUAAGUCGCGGGCAUUUAUAUUUAGAUUCGGCAUAACCUUUUAAGUGAUACACUACAUUUAAACUAUACGCGCUUUAUUAACACGAGAGAUACUAAUUUAUGUGAAGAUGAAGAGAGAAAGAAGAUAUAUUAAAGUAAUAGUGCUGGUUUUAUGAAUUUCUUUCCGGCAGUCGACAAGAAUCAUAUGUCAAAAGGAUUUUUGUUUCAAUUUUAAGAUUGUUGAUAUUUUAUGAAUUCUAUUUAAUUUAUAUUUUAAGCAAUGGAGAAUUAUGUCAAGAAACUCGAUGUAAAGAGCAUCCAAAAAGCCCUACAGAGUGGCAAGAGAGUGGACGCAGACCUCGAUGGAAAGGGGGUGACGGCGCUCCACUUGGCAGCUGGGUUGACAGACGAGGCUGAUUGCAUUACUGUGGCGGAGGUACUGCUGGCUCACAGGGCAAACCCAAAUAUUCAGAACAACUAUGGACAGUCCAGCCUGCAUGUUGCUGCCACUCACGGAUACAGCCGCUUGUUGGAACUCCUCCUGGUUAACGGCGGUGACCCUCUACUUGGUGACAUCACCGGACGCUCACCGGUCGACUAUGCCUACGAGAAACGGCAGACAGAGGUUGUCGAACAGCUGAAUGAGCUCCUCAAUUCAGAGAACUAUGAAUGCCCACAAGAGAACAAAGAGAAGUUUGUCAUGGCCUUUUGGAGACAAGAAAUUGUUGAACUGCCUGUCUUGUCUCAGGAAGGAUCAGAAGUAUCAUGUCAGUCAUGGGAUUUGCCUGGUUCUCAGGAGCAGGUGUGCUUAGGUACUGAAAAAGAGAAGACUGCAGGUAUGAAAUCAGACUGCAAAAAGGAUAUCACACAUGACCCGUACAUGGAAGAAUCCUUCAGCACAAGAUAUAGCCAGUUCUUGAGAGACCUUGAGAACUACGAUCAUCAGCAGAUGGACACAGAUGAUGAUGGUUGGAAGUUGUCGCUUACCAGGGAGCCAAAAUUGGACAAAAGCAAGCAACCUGAAAUCCACUGCCCAGAUUUCCUGAAAAAGUUAAAGCAGACUAUUCAGAAAUGUCAGCAUGACAGCGACAGUGACAAUGAUAUAAGCUCUCUCCAGAGGUGCCUAGAGAAGAACUUAGAUGAAGCUAACAGGUCAUAUUGCCGUGCCUCGUCUUUUGCAUCGUUCACAAGUGAAGAUAGUCAAGGUUUGUAUUCUGAGCAGACUCUUAAUGAGCUUGACAUAGCCCAGCUCACAAUUGACCUAACAGAUAAUCUGUCAAUCCUGACAGAUGACUUGUUUGAGGCUACUUAUAUCCCACCUAACAAGUCGAUUAACCUUGUGGAGAAACCCCACAAAUCAGUCUUUGCGGAAGGCUGCAUCACGCUCAACUCACUAGCUGAAGAUGGGGAGACACUCAUAGAUGACUCAGACUGCAGUGACACUCUGACAGAUAGUGUGAUCAUUGUGGCAGAGAAGAACAAAAAAAAUCUGAAAGGUAACAUAGAUAGAGUUACAGGAAAAAAUCCCGAGCAAGUCAUCAAAUGCAUAGAAGAGAAAGCAAGAGAAUUCUCUACCAUCACUACCGCUCCUCGCAACACUUCCAAACCAGACCAUUGUAGAACCAUGAACCUUGUUAAAGCCCCAAGGAAAGAGGUGCCAUACCUUGAGCGAUGUGCUAGAGACAAACCCCCAUUAAGAGACCCAUCUUCCAAGCUCUUUGAUGGAUUGACCAAGACCCUUACUCCUAAAAGCAAAAGCUCUGGCAUGAACCCACCCUCGGCCACUUUCUCCUCCCCAAAGAGGGCCACGCAACUCACAUCUGUCCCCAGUACUCCACGUUCCCACCAGGGGCAUGUGGGCAAGGGAGCACCCUCCACCAGCAGUUCCUGUCAGUCAUUCUUCAGUGUAGUGGAAGAGUUCCUUUACGAAGAUCCUGAAGCUGGCAUUGCACUUAUUGAAAGACGUUGUCCCACAUCUUCUUCAAUUGCAAGCACAGGCAGCCAGAUGGGUAGUCUGCCAAGAAGUCUGAUACAGAGCAAGAAAAUUACUGAGACGCUCCGGCCGCAGCAAGACAAGGCGAAUGUCUGUUUCGCAGAGGAGAGCUCGAAUUCCAUUGGAACAGUGACGGACAGCAUCAAAGCCCUAUCUGUAGAGACCCUUCGCGCACGCCUCAAGGCAAUUGGCUACACCGCAGGGCCCAUCACGGCUGGGACCCACCGUGUCUACCAGAGACAUCUCAUGCGGAUCAGGAAGAAUCCACAGAUGCUGGAAGAGCAAGAUGCGGAGAGUGCCAAACCUUCCUACCCACGUGAGCUGAAAAUGGCGCUGGAGGACCCGUCUUCUGUGGACUGGAUCUCUUGGGGUUCCUUAGAAAGGGUCAUGAGCUCCCCCUUCUGUCAGCCAGACCCCAUGCGACACUGGAGGGAUGGGACCACUAAGGCGUGCUUCAAUUACCUCCUCUUGGACCCCAGGAUAACACAGGAUCUCCCUCUGAGGGGACUGAUGAUGACAGACGCAGAGAGGUUUCAGUGCUUCAUCUCUGCCAUCUUCUACAUCGGAAAAGGAUCAAGGGGAAGGCCCUACUAUCACCUUUACGAGGCCAUUAAGAGUCUGGAAAGUGGCAAAAAGAAGAACAAGAAGAUAGAGCGAAUCCACGACAUAUGGUCUGAGGGUGUCGGUGUGGUCUCCCUUCACGUCUUCCAGAACACCAUCCCAGUUGAGGCCUGGACCCGAGAAGCUGCGAUGAUAACUGCAAUAGGCCUUGGCAACCUGAGCAACAGUAUCCAAGGCACCUUUUACGGCCUACCCAGCACCUGGCGAUGGGCCGAACGGAGGCGCCUGGGAACACACCUCUUGUGGCGGACACUCCAGAUCUUCCUGCAGGAGGGCGAGAGGCAGCUCAGGCCCUCCGACGUCACCCUGCCAGCUUGGAUGAAGUAGGAUGAGUUGAGAGGAGGGGAAAGGAGAUGAGAUGAAGUAAGAUGAGGGGAGAGGAGAUGAAACAAAAAAUGAGAUAAAGUGAGAUGUGGCAAGAGUAGAUUAGAAGAAGUGAGAUGAGGUGAAAGGAGAUGAGGCAAGAAGAGACAAGAUAAAGCAAGACAUAAGGAGAUGUUGCAAGAUGAAGCAAGACAAGGCAAGAUGAGGUGAGAUCAAGUGAAAGGAGCCAAGAUGAGCAAAGAGAUUACUGGCACUGGAUAGAUUUGAAUGAUAAUAUAUGGGAAGACUUUUUAAGUUAUGCAAUUUUCUCUUCUUCAUCUUCAUUUUUUUAAAGUGUAGGUUAGGCUCCAACUAUUAUCAACAGAUGAUUGGAUUAAUUGGAGAUGGGGAUUUUUAUUAUCUUUACCAUUAUUAUUAUUUUUUAGGAUGUUCUUAUUUUGUGAUUGUCUUUCUGUGAGAAGGAUUUUUCAAAGCAAUCUCAUUAAUAAAUUGAAUCUUUUUUUGAAUAAGUAGACUGUGACUUGUCUUUUAGAUACGUAAUCUCAAGAUGUGAUGAUAAUAGUACAAAAUUAUAUACGUAAUAUUGGAUGUCUUCAUGUUUUCUCUCAUUCUGUAAUUUUUGUGUGAUAUUUUUGGUGAUUGUAGUAAUAUUAGUUAAUGUGUAGAUUUUUAACACGUUGAAAUAUGUGAAUGUAAAAUUUUGAGGUAAGUGGAUGUUUAAUUACACUCUUCAUAUAUGCCAAAGCCAAAUAAGUGUAAGUGAAAAUGGAUAUUGUAUUUUAAAUCAAUGGUGUUUAUUGCUGUAUUUAAUUUUUAAAGACAUCCUAUAAGUUUGAUGUGAUUUGUUUCCAUUGAGUUGGGUUUGUCGUGUCUUGUCAUUAGAUAUAAGAUAAAUUAUGAUUAUUACUUUCAUUUGCUACUUAAUACUGAUUUGUUAUUGACUAGCCUUUAAGACGGUAAUGGAGUUUCUAUUUCAUUACGGUGUGAUAAUCAAAUACCUGUAUAUUCUGUGAUAGAAUUAGUUCAUGUGAAAGGAGUGUGUAUUUUUAGAUGGUCUUUUUUGUAUGACAUAACUGUAGAAAUUAAAAAUUUAUUGUGAAAUGUGUUGUAAGAUCGUUCAAACUGCCAGUUGUAUUUUUUACUAUAGGUACCUGAAUUAAAGAGAUAAUGACUAUAUUUGUAAUUUAUAAUGAAUGAAAUUAAUAUAAAAUGUGAUCUUUCAGAAGAAGGAUGUAUUUAUUCUUUUAGUAAUAUAUUUUUACAUAUUCCAAAA